AAAAAAAAAAAAAAAAUGGGUGAGAUCACUGCAUUGUGGAUGCAGACGUGUUUUAAAAUGUUUUCAUAGUGGGCACUGCCACAGGAGACUGAGGGAAAUUGGUGGUAACACCUGUCACACACAUUCAGCAUCAGAUAUUAGCAUCCGUCUCUUUUACUGGUCUGUGAACGAUGAAUAAUUACUCUUGUUUAAAAACCUGCCUAUUAGCGCUAACCAGGUUAUAUUGGACAUCUGUCUCAGAAAGCUGACUGAUAUAAUUGGCUGCCAUCAUAUCGUGCUUCACUCUAUAGCAAAGCACACUGGCAUGACAGGCAUUGAGAAGCGUUGUUGCUGUUCACUCCGGCUUCGUGACGUAGCUCCCACAUGUCAGUUUCACAAGCGAGUCAAAUGAAAUUGUACGAGAUGAAAGUUGUGGCAAAAACAGAACACAUAUGUCCAUGCGUGGCGCUCUGUGGCAUGUUAUUGGCACAGUGUUUUCAUCAGGUCUGAUAACAUAUGUUUAGAACUCAGGAGGCUUUGGGCAGGAGGGAAUAGUGCAGCUUUUGAAGUCAACUGCCGCAUUAAGCAGAGAAGCGGCACAGUUGUGUGGAGAUGCUCUCUUGUUCAAAGGGAUGGAAGGAACCGCUCCGGGGAGCGUCCAACAUCAAGAGCUGACCCCGGCACUGUUUCCCGCUACCUUCUGCCAUGCGUCCCGCCGCCGUAUGCUGUGAUUCCCAAAGACCGGCAGGCCUGUGCCAUCUGGCCUCACUUCGGAUUCCCCGGACACAUAUUGGGAAUCCAAACUAUGCCACCUCCCCGUUUCUCCUUUCCCUCUGCGCUCUCUCCCUCUGGGUUGUCUCUGCGCCUCCACUUCAUCCCUGCUUGAGUGUUGGCUCAAGUGGAAGGGGUCUGCUCUCCAAGUGAUCCCAGUUGCCCUUUUCCUCUUUAAUCCCCUUGUGAUGGGAUCCAGUAGGAGCCCUUUAAAUUCAGAGGGAAACGGUCGAUAGUUUUUAAGAUGAAGGAAAAUCCCCUGAGGGUUAUCAACCUAGUGUAUUCUGUCUCUGUUGUAGGGUGCUUAGUUCAUUACAUGACCUUCAGACUGCUUUUUUCUGAACUGCUGCUCUUUAAACAAGCUUAAAAUUUCACUACACCUCAGCCAGAAAGCAAAGAUUCUAAUACUUUAACACCUCAGAUUAAGAAUCAUUGGUUUCCUGUUGCAAAUCUUUACCCACUUUCCAGUUUUAGAGUGCUGAGUGUGGUGUAGACAUGUUUACAGACACACACAAAGAGAGAAGAGGCUCCAGGAAGAGAGCGGCGGUGGGCUGUACAGUAUGUUCUGUAGCACUGCCACAGAUUUCACACUCUUUUUGUGUGUCUCUUUCUCUUCCUCUCCUCUGGCCGCCGCCUCAGUGGGGAAUUCGAUUCCCUAAUAACUGGGGAAUCAAAGUUGGACAGCACCACUGCUGAGCAUCAUAAAGGAAGCAGUGGAGUGGCUGGCCAUUCAUUCAUCCAGGCCCAUUACAAUGUAUACCAGAUGGACACUGCACGUCACCGGGUGACAUCUCAAGACAGCCGCGGCCGCCUGCCUGCCCGGCUUGGAAAAGAUGAAAGUUAUGAGGGAGACGGGAGGAGCCGUUUGAAGCAUCAUAUCUGAGGAAUAUUUUGUGGAUUUAUCCAAAAGGUGCAAAAUAAAUCCUUUCCCUCCUCUGGCUCCUCCUUGCCACUGAGAGCCAGAAACAGAUGCUGGUGCCACCAUGUUGCCAGCUCUCCCAAUGGCAGAGAAGAUGACAGGAGCUGCCAAAAAAUUCAGCCUCCUUCGCUCCUUUAUGUGAAAUGACUGGAAUAUUAAUGUGGAAAUAAUACUACUUCUAAUAAUACUUCAACACCUUUGGCAUCAUCAUCAAAUAAAUAUGAAGCAAGAACACAGGUGCAAUUCAUUUCCUGUCCUGUGUUUCUUCUCUCCUCACCUCUCCCCUUUUUCCUCGUUUCUUUGCUCCAACGUACUUCCACGUAGAAGAUGAGUUGUCGUGACCGAGGAGGAGUAAGUAUGAAAUUAUUUCAGACCUUCGUGUGACCUUUCCUAUCAUCUGCACUCGUAAGUGGGAGUGGGUUCUUUUUUGGCAUUUUGAAUGGGAUGGGUGAAAUGGGCAGGUGAAGGAGAGUUGGCAGAGGGAGGCAGUGGGCUGAUAGUGUUUUUUUUUUAUCGACGUGGCAAAAACGUGAUUUCCAUAUUCGGGUGUUAUGGAAUCAGUGCAGUUCUAACCGUAACCUAGAACUUUCUAACUUUCUAUUACUUUUAGCCCCAGCUCAUUCCGUCUUACUAAUGUCUACUAAUUUUCUUCAUACAUUAAUACAAACACUCUCUGAUUGUAAACCUUAUGUACAAUCAGAAAUCAUUACCUCAAGUACUCAACAAGACUCAUUUCCAAACAAUACAAACAUAAAUACAUUUUUUCAAACAGCAGCACUGUAGCACUGAACAUGCGUCUAGCAGCUUGUUUGGGAUGCACUUUUAAUUUUUGAGGACAACUAGCAUCUGGUAGUAAUUAUUCCUCACUUUUAUUCUGCUUUGACAUGUGCUAAUGAGAUUUCAUAUUUAAUCAGAAGAAAAUUCAUAUUUUUUGUCUGCAGUUUAAAAUAGGUGUUUUUCUUUUAUUCUCUGAUUGAAACAAUUUUAAACUAACUGUACAUCAGCACAACUGUCCCUAGCUCAUACAGUUUUACACUAAAUUACAGGCUGUUGAAACAUAGAUAUUAACUGAAAUAAAUGAAACAUGACAGCAACUCAGCUUUUGUGGAGUCUAAAGCUGUAACAUCACUAACAAAUUAUUUCCUCAUGUUGUACUAUUGAAAGACGGAAAGAUUGGGAAAGAUGCUGAAAUGCUGUCGCAUAUUGUUUUAUGGCAUGUCUGCAACAAGAGUUAAAAAGAAAUCAUGUCUAUUCAUGUCUUUAAUUUAAUAGUAUGACAUUUGAUGUUGACUACCAAUAAAAACAACUCCAACUUAAUGAAACUGGCUUUACGAGGAUUACUGUAGAUAAAUAAAAUGACAUGCAUACAUUUUAAAUAUUAAAAAGUACAUUUAACUCGACUGAAUAUUGCUUGCAGGGUGGAAGCAUAUAUUUAGCAUACAAUGACUACUGUUGGAAGGCUUAUGAAAUCAAAUAGCUAUAUAUUGCCUGAGGGAACUGGCAUGUCUGAAGACCUCCAGGAUUCUUUUUCUCACACACAUACACACACUCGCGCACUCUGUCUCACGCCCCAUGUGAACACUCAUCUUUAACGAGGGGAGAGCUGAAACCAUGCGUGAUUGUUUUAGAGAGGCUGCCCUAAAGGCACGUUAUCGCUCAAUGCGGGGCUGCUUCUCCCAGUCAUAUGUCCUCUCUUGUUGAUUGUGCAGCGUAGAUCAGCAGCAACAAAGGCAUCAUUAGUGGGGCUUUGGUCCCCACCAGGCCCGGGCUAAUUAUGAAUGGGGGGCCCAGUAAUAAUUCAAGGGCCCAUCGGUGCAGCUUGAAACUGAAGAGAGAACUUCACAGAUUCAGUGGUGGCGUACUCAGCCCAUCUGCCUCCAUUUCCCAGCCACCUGCCUGAAGAUCUGACCCACGUCAGCCACGAGGAUGGAGCACCAUUACACAUAAGAGAGAGGCAGAGGAAACAUAUGGGAUUUAUACAUCGCUUUAAUUAAUGAUUUGCAGUGGUCAUUAAAAGCUUUGGACAAUUACCUGAUUAGUCCAUGAUGGCCUGCCUGGUAAAUUGUUUAACAAUUGUUAAUUUUGUGUUUAUCUCAGGUUGUAGAGCUGAAUUAUCUCCCAUCCCUCAGAUGCUGGAACUACUGUUCAUGCCAUCAUGGACACACGCAUAUGUGCAAUUAAAAUGAUAAAUUUUAUAGAAAAAAAAUAUAGAUAGAAUACUUUCUGUAUAAAUCUGUACUUCCUGUAAACAAUAUGAUAAACAGCUGAAAUAAAGAUUUUACAUAAUCUA